CGAUUCUUCAUGGGGGUUGUAUUCCAGGGACCUGCCCGAAACGCUACGUGUACUAGUGGCUGUACAAGAAUGUAACAACUCUUGUAGAUAGCUCAAAAAAAAAAAAAAAAAAAAUCUCAAAACCCAAGGUGUUGGAAUUAUUACACAUAUUUUAACCACCUGUUUCUUUUUCUCAGAGUAUAGCAUACGCUUGCUGGAGUCUUCAAACAUUUAUAAUGGCUUCAUUAUUUUCUCUUAUUCAACUUUUGUGUGAUGCUCUUCCUUAGAGAUUAAGGUAAAGUAAGGUAAUUGUUUUAUAUACUCAUGAGAGACAUUUCAUGUCAAUGAUUUUUUUUAUUGUAAUUAACUCUUGAUUGCUUUAAUGCCUCUGGAAUUUAAUUAAAUUAACCUUGCCAUCAUUGAAAUUGAACUUUCUUUCUACAGUAUAUCAUCUGUAACAAGUAUAGAACAGUUGAGUUUCACUAAAUUCCCAAAGCUAAUGACUUAAUGACCUAGCAGAAGCCACUGCUGAACAAGUCAUUCACAUCUGUCCCAUCUCCCAGAAGCCCAUCCCUUACUUGGAUUUCUGCCAUAACUUAUGCUUCCAUAGUUAUUGGAAAGGUUGAGGGCUAUCUACUACAGAUAAUAAAUUACAUAUCAAAUCUAGUAUAGACCCGUGAAUUAUCAUAUCUGUAUUAUCAUCAAAUCUUGUAUACUAUCACUGAAACUGGAAGGGGAAAAUUGCCUUGAAUAGGAUUUAUAUCUCUCACAAUCAUGAAUGAACAAAGGCAAACAUUUUAGGAUUGAAACCUAGUGUUGUAAAGGGCUCUAGGAGCCCUAGUGUUUUAAGAGGACAGGUUGGUAGGUUGACCUUGGGGGACUUUAGAUAUGAGCCUAACAUAUAUAUAUACACUGGCUACAUAUAUAGGAUAUAUAUACAUAUAUCCUCUAUAUGUAUAUAUAUGAGGAUAUAUACAUAUAUCCUCUAUGAAUUACCAGUAUAUUAUUUAUAAUUACUGUAUUAAAAUGUUAUAAUGAUUUGGUUAAAUUCUUGAUUUAAUCAGCACUAAUAGUACUUCCACACUUGACGUGCUUGUGUGUUAUUAUUUAAUGUAUACAUUGCAGGCCAUAAUGGGUUAUUGUAAAGGUAAUCUGUCAGCACUUCAAGCAAUUUCAAUAACAAAAUAAAUAUACUGUAUUUUUUAUUUUGUAAAAUAUUAAAUGCAUAUAUGCAAAAAAUAAAUGUGCUGUAAUGUUGUUAUAUACUUGCUAAAUGAAAGGGAUUUGUAAUAGUUAAUCAUAACUUAGUUAUAUACAGUUGGUAAACCCAACUUUGAUAUGUCUUAAUAGGUAAACCUAACUUUAGCAUGCUUAUGCAAUACAGUAGUUUUAAAUGUAUUAAGCAUUCAAAAUAUAAACUUUCAUAUGAGUUAUAUCACACCAUGAAAUAAUCACCUGCAGUUUUAGACCAAAUGUUGACUUGAUACUCUUCAGGCUAUCCAAUACCAGUACUGGAUAGUAUGUGUUAUACUUUAAAUUUUCUCCCUUGUCAGAAACUUAAAUAAAAUGAAAAUAUAUAGCCUCUACAGUGAUGCUCUCAUUUCAUUGAAAAUGAAUCUUAACAAGUAAAAUCACACUGGGACAUUUCAGAUGUAUUGUACAUCAUUCCAUGGUACAUAGACUUAGUUGUUGCCAUGCACCAUUGUUAGUUUCAAGCUGUUCAUAAAAGGAUGUAAAAUAAAUUACACUAAAAUUAUGGCAAGAAAAAUGACAGGUUGUAUAACAAGAACCAUCCAAAGAAGAGAUGCUAUGCCAAUGAUAGUUUUUAAGGCAUUUGUACUAUCUAGAGUGGAAUAUUGUUGCGCACUAACAAUCUCAUUCAAAGCUGGUGAAAUUGCUGACCUGGAGAACAUGUACCGAAUCCUAUACCUCUAGAAUUCACUCGGUAAAACAUCUAAAUCGUUGAGACUGCCUAAAAAUUUAAAUCUGGAUUUCCUAGUGUGCAAGUGGAAGAGAUACAUAAUCUACACUUGGAAAAUAUUAGAAGGACUGGUUCCAAAUCUGCACACAGAAAUAACACCACAUGAGACCAGAAGAUGAAGAUGGUGCACUGUUCUCUAUCUAAAAGGUCAAGAAAUAAUAGUACAUCUGCAGCAAGCUGGUAUAAUUUUUUAGCUUUUAAUCUUAAGUAUAAUGACCAUGAUCACAAAAUGUAAAACUUUCAAACAUUAGCCUUUUUUAAUUCUUAAUAUUGCAAAAGAAUAUGCAAAUAAUUUUUAUGUAAAACUGAUGCCUGUAAAAUGGUUUGUAUGCACUAAGAAUCUCACACUACCAUACAAGGCUCUUCACUAACACCCACAAGGUAAAUGUACAACCUAUUGAUUGCCAAUAUGAAUUAUGUCAAAAAUUAAACAAAUUAAUAAAAUCCUGAAUGAGCAAACAAUAAUUAUAAUGUAAUGUACAUAUAAAGUAUCUUGUUAUUAGAGGCAAAACUUAAUUUAGGCCAUGAAUACACAUUCAUGCAGUAAAUAAUUUGGAAUUGACUAAUUCGUAAUAACCAUUACAGACGGUUAAUUUAUAAAUGUAUACCUUUGCCUAAUAAAAGUUGAAGUUUUACAAGUUAGAAUACUGUACUGCUCUGAUCAAUCUACCUUUCUAUCAUUAACUAGUAACUUCAAAUGUUGAAUAUCUUCCCAAACACUCAACAACUGAUUAUCAUACCACCGAAGCAAUAAUUAAAAUAAAUGCUCAGGAAUUCUAAGAGUUGGUUGAUUUUACAUAAGCAUACACAACUGCCUUAGAGAAAAACUGAUCUGUGAAUGAAAUGAAGGCUGACCAAUAACAAACAAAUAGAUAGAACAAUUUGUCAAAAAACAAUUGUAGUCUAACGCACACAGAGUAUACAUGCCAUUGUCCAUAUGAUGACUGUCUUCACAGUGCCCAAUAUUGAAUGCAGUUUAGGAUUUCGAUUUUUCAAUCUAGUAAUGCCAUUUAACUUUUUGCUGAAUUUAAUCCAUUUUUUGGUAAUAUAUUUUAAUCUUUUUACCUGAUUUUUAAGCAAUGUAGCAGUAGAAUGAUUAUAACCCCUGAAUUUAGUAGUGACUUAUUUGCAAAGCAUUAGGAGAAUGGUGCAAGGCACAAUAAAUCUAUUGUUAUCCUUCCUCUGAGAUGACUUGCCGAUAGGUUUGUCAUAAUGAUAUUCAUGUGCAUAUCCUAUACAUACGUAAUGUUGAUAUGGCAAGUGCAUAUAAAAUCAUGAAUAAGAAGAACAGAAGUGGAUAACCUGAAAAAGUGGCUAGGAGAUUAGAGUGGAACUGAGAAUUUUAUGGAAAGUGCACAAAAGUCAGUAAAUUGUAAAAUUGAGAUCAUACUGAUACUGUUUGGUCAUGUGUGAACAAACAAUGAAAGAAUAGUGGAGAGCACAUUUAAGUGAAUACGAUGGUAGAAGAAGGGAAUGUCCAAGAAGAUAAACAUGAAUAAAAUGCAAGGAAUAUGGAGACAAUUAUCAGGGGAAAGGACUGUGUUUCAACAAAGUAAAUGUUAUGUUUGUGCAGAUACUGUACUUGCAUUAAGCUCUCAGCCAUUUGGUUUAACAUUUAUUAUGGGAAAAUUACUUGAAUCAAUAAUCACGAAAGCUAAUUGCAUACAUCUUGAAAAUAUUUUAAUAAAGGAUUCUAAUCAUGCCUUUACAAAGAGCUGCUUGUAUUAUUUUUAGUAUUUUUGAAGCUAUUCAUAAGUGCGAAAAAUGCAACAAUAAAUCUUUUGGUUAUUUGAAAGAAAACAGAGCAAGCCAUUGCAAGUGAAGUGCCCCAGGGCUCUGUUGUUUAUCAUAUAUACUUUUAGUAUUUUUGAAGCUAUUCACAAGUGCAAACAGUGUAUUCUGUAUAAAGUAUUUAGACAAUAUUGAAGAGCAACAGGAGACCUGGGAAAAAAUGGUCUGAAAAUAGGGUUGUUGAUUUAUGAAACCAAUUACUUGGUAAUAAAAGAACGCAUGGAAUUGCUGGAUCUUAAACUCAAGAGUUAUCACCAAUUAAGACAUGGUCACCAAUUGUCUUGAUACUCAUUGUGACAAUAUUUUUCAAUCGCAAUCUGUUCAUAGUCAUCAAAUGCACUCAACAAUUCAAGUGAGUUCGCUAUCAUAUUUAAAUAACAGCAUGGUUUCUGUAACUGUUAACUUGUCAAAUUGAUUUUUUAGAAUUUCCUGCCAUGCUACUAAUAGAAUCACUAUUUCAUGUUUCUCCAAUUCUAUCAGAAUGGUAGAAGCCUCUCCUUUGGCUUCUGCAUUUAGUUGUUCAUCAAUAUGUCAUCAGUACCGUUAUAUUCUGCUGGGAGCCAUGCUUGUACAGCAUCCAAAUGGGCUGACCACCAUGUAUCUGAAAAAACACUUGACAACCGGCAUGUGUUUCAGUGUAUCUUGAUGUUUGCACCAAUGACUUCUUGAGAUAAAAACACAGUUGUUGAAUUAUACCAGACAAAGCAGCUGUGCAACAUUCAACCGAGUACAUUCUGAUGAGGUUCGGAGAAUAAGCAUGCAAGGAACAACAUCGGCAAACUCAUGGCAUUUUGUGGGCUUUAGUACCACAGUAUUUUUCAGACAUGCUGGCAGUUGUAUGAAUGACUGUAACAGAGAUUGGAAUUUUGUAUGUUUGGAGAAAAUCUAGCACUACUACUGUCAUUUCCUUUCUGGUAUGAUUCAGCAUAAACAAUGCUUUAAUUAACCUAUGGCUAUGCCUUACUAGGUUGGGCUGAUAGAUUAGGUUAUUAGUAAGAUGGCAAGAAUUCAGUGCUGAAUUUAAUGUAGCUAAUGCCAGGGUUCAAAGAGGAGCAAAUAGCAGAAUUUCUUAUUAUUAUUAUGUCUGCUUAGCACUCGUGGAAACCUGGCCUUGUGCAUGCAAAUGUGCCUAGAAAUUGUAUGUAUUUUAAUUGUAAAAUACAGCUAAAUAUGUAUUUUGCCACUUUUUCCUACUUUGAUUAUACUUGAGGGACAGUAUUUUUCAAUUAAAGUUGUCAUGUAAAUUUCAAUACAUUCUACAUGUUGUACUGAUCAUAUCUUGUAGAGUUUUUGGUGUUUUAUUUUUCAUGUAUGCAUGGUACUGUAUUUUGAUACAGGCGAGGUUUAAUAUGAUGCCCUAAAAUAACCUAUAGUGGAUAAAAAAUUUAAAGUAAUACGCUGAUACGACUUUCAUUUGUAGCUACUGUAAAUUAAACCCGUACGUAUUAUAAAUUAAUCUAAAAUAAAACUAACCUAACCUAAAA
rnacentral:lncRNA from 1 species